AUUGAACGCUGGCGGCAUGCCUUACACAUGCAAGUCGAACGGCAGCACGGGAGCAAUCCUGGUGGCGAGUGGCGAACGGGUGAGUAAUGCGUCGGAACGUGCCGAGUAGUGGGGGAUAACGCAGCGAAAGCUGUGCUAACACCGCAUACGAUCUGCGGAUGAAAGCGGGGGACCUUCGGGCCUCGCGCGAUUGGAUCGGCCGAUGUCAGAUUAGGUAGUUGGUGGGGUAAAGGCUCACCAAGCCAACGAUCUGUAGCUGGUCUGAGAGGACGACCAGCCACACUGGGACUGAGACACGGCCCAGACUCCUACGGGAGGCAGCAGUGGGGAAUUUUGGACAAUGGGCGCAAGCCUGAUCCAGCAAUGCCGCGUGCAGGAAGAAGGCCUUCGGGUUGUAAACUGCUUUUGUACGGAGCGAAAAGGCUCCCUCUACUACAGGGGGCUCAUGACGGUACCGUAAGAAUAAGCACCGGCUAACUACGUGCCAGCCGCCGCAGUAACAC
rnacentral:rRNA from 1 species